CGGGCUGUAGCGCAGCUUGGUAGCGCACCUCGUUCGGGACGAGGGGGUCACAGGUUCAAAUCCUGCCAGCCUGA
rnacentral:tRNA from 1 species